rnacentral:rRNA from 1 species
UCUGGAUCGUCGCAAGACGGACUAAAGCGAAAGCAUUUGCCAAAGGUGUUUUCAUUAAUCAAGAACGAAAGNAGAGGUUCGAAGGCGAUUAGAUACCGCUGUAGUUCUAACCAUAAAUGAUGCCAGCCAGCGAUCCGCCGAAGUUUCAUAAUUUUAACCCGGUGGGCAGCUCCCGGGAAACCAAAGCUUUCGGGCUCCGGGGGGAGUAUGGUUGCAAAGCUGAAACUUAAAGGAAUUGACGGAAGGGCACCACCAGGAGUGGAGCCUGCGGCUUAAUUCGACUCAACACGGGAAAACUCACCAGGCCCGGACACUGGAAGGAUUGACGGAUUAACAGCUCUUUCUCGAUUCGGUGGGUGGUGGUGCAUGGCCGCUCUUAGUUGGUGGAGCGAUUUGUCAGGUUAAUUCCGGUAACGAACGUAACUCACCGGCGGUAUAUAUAGCCGCACGAGAUUGAGCAAUAGCAGGUCUGUGAUGCCCUUAGAUGUCCUGGGCCGCACGCGCGCUACACUGAAGGGAUCAGCGUGUCCUCCUUGGCCUAACGGCCCGGGUAACCCGAUGAAACCCCUUCGUGAUAGGGAUUGGGGUUUGCAAUUCUCCCCCAUGAACGAGGAAUUCCUAGUAAAAGCGAGUCACCAGCUCGCGUUGAUUGCGUCCCUGCCCUUUGUACACACCGCCCGUCGCUACUACCGAUGGAUGAUUUGGUGAGGUCUUCGGACUGGUGCGCGGAAGCUCUCACGGGCAUCCGACGCGUUGGAAAGUUUGACCGAAUUUGAUCAUUUAGAGAAGUAAA